rnacentral:lncRNA from 1 species
AAUCCUGCAGGAUUGGGGCGGCAGGCAACAAGCGGCUCUCCUCCGCCUGAUGGAGCGGCAAAGAGACACGGCACAUCAUUUACAGGGAGAGGAAGGUGACUUUGAGGCAGUCGUCAGCUUGCCUGGGAGUGUCAUUGGAGGAGAUUCUUAAAUUUGUCUUGACAGAGGAUCCGGCUGUAUGGACAAGUUCGCUGCCUGCCACAAAGAAUAACAGGGGAACUUGUCCGUUCCAAACCACCCCCAAUCGUACUCUCACAGUUUCCCCACUGCCCCUUCCUGACAAUGUCUGUCAUUCCAGCAUGCCAUCACUGGGAAUUAAUGUCGGCCUGGGGUGGCGAAGCAGGGAGCCAUGGAGCACAUCAAAAGACACGCCGACAUUAGACUCCAACAGGCCUUCAUUUAAGGUAUGAGGCUAAAUGACUCAGCUACUUCCACCUGGCUUGAUUGGUACUACAGUCACUUGGCUGCAAAGCAAUCACCCCACAACUGGGCCAUCUUGAAGAAUAGGAGUGCAGAUGCAAGCACUUAAGUCUGUAUUAAAUGAAGGGUUAAUUGCACAAUGCUACCUAAAAGGUAAAGGACCCCUGAAAGUUUAGUCCAGCUGUGAACGACUCUGAGGUUGCGGCGCUCAUCUUGCUUUACUGGCCGAGGGAGCUGACGUUUGUCCGCAGACAGUUUUUCCGGGUCAUGUGGCCAGCAUGACUAAGCCGCUUCUGGCGAAACCAGAGCAGCGCACGGAAAUGCCGUUUACCUUCCCGUCGCAGCGGUAUCUACUUGCACUUUGACAUGCUUUCAAACUGCUAGGUUGGCAGGAGCUGGGACCAAACAACAGGAGCUCACCAAGUUGUGGGGAUUCGAACCGCCGACCUUCCGAUCGGCAAGCCCUAGGCUCUGUGGUUUAGACCCCAGUGCCACCCGUGUCCCUUUUUCAAUGCUACCCACACCUCCUCAAUUACAAUUCUUCAGCAUUUCCACUACAGGCUGAGAAAUGCUGACUGGCCCAUGGUCACCCAGUCAACUUCAUGGCUGAGUGGGGAUUUGAACCUGGUCUCCAAGAUCCUAGUCCAACACUCUAACCACUGCACCACAUUAGCCCUCAUACAUAAAAUAUAUCAGUUACAAAAUACAUUUUAAAAUCUAUGUGACUAAUAAUCAUGCACUCUAGUCAGACUGUCCCCUCCCUCUCACAUGGCCAAACUUUACAUUUUUCCUCAUUUGUUUUAGUAUUUUAAAAUUGCCUUAGGUGCUAUGACAGAACGGUGAUACGUAACUGUGAUAAAUAACUGGAGGCUUUUUUCAUUCUGUAUGAGACAUUCAGGUGUAUAUAGCACAUAACACAGUUACAGAGAUUUACAGAGUUUCCAGAAGGAUAGCUGUGUUACAUCACAAUCAUAACCAUAGCUACUCAGAAGCAAAUCCUAUUGAAUUCAGUGGGGUUUACUCCCAGGUAGUAAGGCUAAGAUUGCAGUAUUAUGGCACCUUAAAUGAAGGGUGGGAAACCUCUGGCCCUCCAGA